UGUGCCCUCUCUUCAUCAUCGGAAUUUUGUAUCUUUUCAUCAUCUGACUGGUCGCUUUUAUCUUCUCUGUCCCAUUUUUCAUCAUCUGAAUGUGCUUUUUCAGAACCUUCUGCUUCUGAAUGAUGGCUCCCUCCAUCUGAUCUAUGACCUUCAUCUUCAUCAUCAUUAUGAGCUUCUGAUCCACUGUGCUGAUCUACAUCUGAGGGGUCAUUGUCUUCAUGGUCAGAACGCUCAGAAGCUUCUGACCUAUUGUCUGAUCUUUCAGAGUGAUUAUCACUCCCACUGUGAUGUGAAGCUCCCUCAUCCUCACUGUCAUCUCCAAACAGUUCCUUAUUACUUGGCUUUCCUGAAUCACCUCUUUCAUCUUGCUCACUUUCACUUCCAGAGGCAUUACUGCCAGAAGCAACAUUCUCUUGAUCAGAAUCCGAGUCUGAUCCAGAAUCCGAAUCUAUGAGAUCAUAUAAACACAGAAUGAUGUCAGUGAAAAAGGCAAGGUAAAGAGCACCAAAAGUCAAUCCCAACAUAAAAGGAAUGAGAAAACAUGUCAAAAACCAUCAGAAUCAAUUUUCUCUCUACUCAGGAAACUAACCAAAAGCUGCAGCAACCAGGGGAAUGCUUAACAAGAAAAACCAGGCAUUUAAGGAUAUCUCUGUCUAAUCACAAGCUGACCAUUAUGUUAAAGGGCAGAGAUUUUAGUGGCCACACACAACAAAGAUUGUGGGCUUUACUAACCUAGUUCAAAAGAAUCACUAAACAAUAACUACUGCAACAAACAGCAACAACAAAUCCUGAGGAAGGGAGAGAAUUUGAUUUCUUGAGUUACCACAUUAUAAUACUCAAAAUGACAAGUUAUCAACAAAAAACUAUAAAGAAAUACAAAGAACCAAGGAAGUAUGGCCCAUAUGUAUGAAAAAAGGCUAGAAACUAUCCCAGAAGAAGCCCAGACAAUGAAAAUGAUGUUUUACCAAAUAGAGAAUAUCAAUAAAAAGACAGAUUUUUUUUAAACAUAUUAUUUAAAAAGAGCCAAAAAGAAAUUCUGGAGUUGAAAAAUACAAUAAAUGAAGUGAAAAUUCAUUAGGGAGCUAAAGAACAGAUGUAAGCAGGAAGAAGGCAGAAUCAGUAAACUUUAGAAGAAGUCAAUGAAGAUUAAGUGAGGAACAGAAGAGAAAAAAAUUAAGAAAAAUAAAAUCUAAAAGAUUUGUGGGAUACCAUCAAGUGUACCAACAUAUACAUAAUGGGAGUCCCAGAAGAAGAAAGGGCAGAAAGAUUAUUUGAAGAAAUAAUGGUCAAACACAUCCCAAAUGUGAUCAAAGACAUUCAAGAAACUUAGUGAAUGCCAAAUAGGAUAAAAUUAGAGAUCCACACCUACACACGGCAUUAUCAAACAGUUAAAGACAAAGGCAAAAAAAAAGAA